AAUGGGCGCAAGCCUGAUCCAGCCAUGCCGCGUGAGUGAUGAAGGCCUUAGGGUCGUAAAGCUCUUUCGCCUGGGAUGAUAAUGACAGUACCAGGUAAAGAAACCCCGGCUAACUCCGUGCCAGCAGCCGCGGUAAUACGGAGGGGGUUAGCGUUGUUCGGAAUUACUGGGCGUAAAGCGCACGUAGGCGGACUGUUAAGUUAGAGGUGAAAUCCCGGGGCUCAACCCCGGAACUGCCUUUAAUACUGGCAGUCUAGAGUUCGGGAGAGGUGAGUGGAAUUCCGAGUGUAGAGGUGAAAUUCGUAGAUAUUCGGAGGAACACCAGUGGCGAAGGCGGCUCACUGGCUCGAUACUGACGCUGAGGUGCGAAAGUGUGGGGAGCAAACAGGAUU
rnacentral:rRNA from 1 species